UACGUAGGGUGCAGGCGUUAAUCGGAAUUACUGGGCGUAAAGCGUGCGCAGGCGGUCUUUUAAGUCAGAUGUGAAAUCCCCCGGGCUUAACCUGGGAACUGCGUUUGAAACUGGAAGGCUUGAGUGUGGCAGGAGGGGGGUGGAAUUCCACGUGUAGCAGUGAAAUGCGUAGAGAUGUGGAGGAACACCGAUGGCGAAGGCAGCCCCCUGGGCUAACACUGACGCUCAUGCACGAAAGCGUGGGGAGCAAACAGGAUUAGA
rnacentral:rRNA from 1 species